GUUCGAGCCCUUGCUACAGACGAACUCUGUAUGUUUGUUGCAGUCGAUGCUAUUCGAAAGAAUUUGUCUCGGGGAUGGAUGUUCGAUUGUUAGCUAGCAUCUUCAUGUUGGGAGCUAUGCUAUGUGGAAGGACCUGCUCUCCAGUACGUACCCAUGCCAGAUUCUGCUCACGGUGUCCUGGUCCAGUUAGUCUGUGCUUCAUCUGCAAGAUUGAUGACCUCCAUUUCACAGGAGGCUCAUGCUCGCUCCGUCUCCUGUUUACACUGAGACACGGAUUUACAGCACACGACUAUAAGACCAUCGCACCACCACCAGUCCACCACUGCAUGUUACGCCGUUAGGCUGGAGGGUAGACUUGAAAGGGAAGAGGAAUAUUGCAGGCCAUUAAGCUCCUACUUUUUUUCCACUCGCAAGGAGACGCAGAGAGGGAGAGAUAAAUGCACUGUCACCUCCCUGCUCCUCAUCUCCACGCUCCUCAUCUCCACGCUCCUCGUCACGGCAACACCCUGACAGCAUGAAUGUAUUGAAUUGUAUGUGUACUACUAUGUGUGUUAUGGGAGGGCAUGUUUUGUGUGGGUCCCUCACCCUACUAUGGGGCUAUGGGAGGACAGAAUAAUUGGGGUUGAGUGAUUGUGUGUCUGUAUUGUCUUAAAUUAUUAGCCCUAUAUUUUGUUUUAAGAGCACCUUGAAUUCAUAUUCAAUUCAUAAGGUCUCUAGCAGGAUGACAAGAGGCAUAUAAAUGUAGAGACAUGCAUACAUAUUACAUACAUGCACACACACACACACAUACAGUACAUCAGGAAGGAGGAGUUUAAACUCUUCAACCUUAAGA